UGGCCAGGAUAGUCUCAAUCUCUUGACCUCGUGAUCCACCUGCCUCGGCCUCCCAAAGUGCUGGGAUUUACAGCCGUGAGCCACCGCGCCUGGCCUGUCUUCUUUAAUCAAAUCACAUCUUAUAUCCAGCAGUCAUAGAUGAGUAUGCUAGAAUCAUGGACUGCUUGGAAGUCUUUUUAUCUGGUGUUUACCUAGUGAUCUGUUGGUAGAAAUUUGGGUUGCUUAUUAAAUAUUAAUUAUUUUUAAUUAUUGGAUAUCAGAUCUGGUUUCUACAUGGAACGAAGACUACCAGUUCUCCUGAAACUAAUCGAUUAUUGAGGCUGUAUGAGGACACAGCAAGGAGGCUGCCGUUCACAAGCUGAGAAGAGAGCCCUCACAACAGAUGGAAUUGGCUGGAGCCUCAAUCUUGGACUUUCAGCCUCCAGAACAGAGCAAAUAAAUGUGUGUUGUUAAGCCACCCACUCCAUGGUGUUUUGUUAUGGCAGCCCACACUAAUACAGGCAGUGAUGGAAUAUCUCAUGUGAGGAAGUGACAUUUGAACACAUCUGAAAGUGUAGAAGGCAGCCAAGGGCAUCUGAGGUAAGGACAUUUUAGACAGAGGAACCAGUCAUUGCAAAGGGCCUGAGGCAGGCGUGUACCAGGCAGGGUGAGGAGCACAGGGAGGCUGGGUUGGCUGG